rnacentral:lncRNA from 1 species
GUUCCCCAAAUCGAUCAGUAGUGCCAGGACUGAAGAGAGAUGUAUUGUAAUAUCUAUUCUCAAUUUACUAUCAACUUGGUAUCAUCUCUACUCUUAAUACUUAAAAUAUUUCGGUCUUUUGCACAGAUUUUCAGCUCAUUCGCUCAACCUGCAAUGUCCACCUUCAACUUACCAUCCUAAAGAAUUGAAAAGUCCCCUUAAACGGCCCUCCUCCACUCUGGAGCCGCCCGCUCAUGCUCCCUCUCCACAGACCAAUGGUGUUAAGCCCAGUACACCCAGACCAAUCCAGAGCCAGAACCCGUUAGCCUCAACUACAGGAUUACCACAGGUACUCGCCAGUCCCACUCCAAAAAAGAAGAAAAAGAAACUAAAACGACGACAUUCAGAAGUAGACCAGGACGCCCCUAAAGCCUCGCCCCCAGAAGAACCAAAGCCAAGUGCUGAAAACAGGAAAAAGAAAAAGAGGAAAAGGGAACAAGAGGCAAAUGGUCUUGAGGGACAGAGGGAGUGUGUGCAGUCCCAUCUCGAGCCCCAUCAGGAUGAGGACUGGUGUCUUGGAGAAACUUGGAGCAUCGUCUCAGAAGCCAAAGAAAAGGAGUAUGAGACCUCUAAAGCGACAGAGAACCGUGAGACCAAACCUCAGUCAGUGUCUCCAAUUGACCAGCCAGAGACAGACCCCGUCCCGAAGAAGAAAAAGAAGCACAAACUCAAAAAGCAGCUUAAAGAGAUCAGCAAUGGAGCCGUGGCUUCAAAGUGCGCUGUUGUAAAAGAGGUUAGUGGUGCAAACACAGAAUACCUAGGAGAGACCAAUAAGAAAAAGAAAAAGAGAAAACAAAAAGAUUUCAGAGAAGAGGAGGAGAGACCGAGGGAUAAAGAAAAACUUCACGUGGAGCUUCAAGAGACCAAUGGAGUGGAGACUCCUAGUCAGAUAGGCAAUGCGAGCAAGCAGAAAUCUGGUAAUCCCAGCACAGAUGUUAUUAUAUAUUCUGUUGUUGACUUCAUAGACAUGUUAUUUUUCUUUGUUUAGUACAUUAAUCUCAAACUCAAUUCCUGUAAGGCCACAGCUCUGCACAGUUUUGCU